UUAUUUUGUCUUUGUAUUCUUUUCUUCAUAUUUUUGUUGGUGAUUUUUAAGAUGACUUUAACUAAUUCUCCUUUUUUUAAUGAUUCAGGAUUUGAAGGUUAAUCUAACUAAGACUGAUUAUUGCAUGGAGUGAUUGGGUUGGUUCUUGAUAAUUGUUUGAUCUUGUCUCUAUAAUUCUUUUAUUCUUAUUUUUAUUGGUGAUUUUUAAGAGGAUUUUAGUUGAUUCUCCUUUUUUUUUUUUUGUGAUUUAAGGUUUGAAGGUUAAUCUAACUAAGACUGAUUAUUGCAUGGAAUGAUUUGGUUGGUUUGUUAAAAAGAUUAAGAAUAUUUUACCUCAUCAAGGUUCCAUACAUAACAUGUAACUUGCUGGCUCAUUGGUUUAGAGCAUUGGCAGCAUUGGAGCAGGAGGUUACUGCGGUUUGCAGUCAUCAGUCAUCAUUCGUCGUGUGAAGGUUUUCUCCCUCUGAUUUUAAGGGUUGUGAUCUUUUUCUCUUUUUCUUUGGUGCUUGUGCCUUACUCAAUGAUUUGUUUGUCUUUGAGGUUAUCUGCAUGUGUGUUUUGAAAUUAAAAGCUUGAUAAUUUGCUUUAUCUCUCUUUCUAAUUUUUUCAUUUAUUAUUGAUUGUAUUUAACAAAUUUAAAACAUGCAUUUUCUUGUUGAUCGAUUAAUUGUUUCUGUUUCUCUUGCAUUAUGCAGGUCGUUUUUAUGUGGGUUAUGUAUUGAUGUUUUUGCAUCUGUGCAUGCAUAUCGUUUGCUUAAUUGUUUCUGUUUCUCUUGCAUUAUACAUCUUGAAAAUGAAGUAGAACUUGGUUAAUUAACGUUCGGCCCAUAGUAGAGCAAGCGAAAGGAUAGGCUCCUACUGGCUCUUUUUAUAGGAAGGUAAGUUUAUCAAUUGUGCAUGUUCCUACUUAGACCUUUUUCUUUGAAGGUGAAAUUAUAUCUAAGCUUCUUUAUCCACCUUCCAGAUAUUACAAAUGAGCUUCAAGUCAAUUGCACAUUAUUUCAUUCAAACGCAACGUGUGCAAACCAAUUUUCUGUUUAUUUGGUUUUUUCCGUGUAGUACAGCGUGUUACUCAUCUUCUUUAAUCAAUUUCUAAUAUGCUUUUUCAUAAAGUGUAGCAUGGUUUGUUUUCUUCUUGGUUUGCAGUUUUUUAAUGAAACCUGAAAUGCAUUAUGCCGAGGAGGACUUCCUGUUCCUGUUCCAAGUAGUUUCCUAAAAGAAGAUGAACUCCAUUUUGAGAUUGAGUUGACAGAUUUCUCCAAAGCCAAGGCAAGAAUGCUACAAAUCUGAUACUUGUUUUUUGUUACAACAUUUUGGCAUAAACCAAUUUUGGUUCUUUUAUACAAUGUGUAUUUAGUAUUCUCAUACAUACUUUCCUAGUAAUGUCUAUAGUAUUCAUAAGAAUUCUUUCUAAUGUUUGAGGUGCUCAUGAUAUCUAGCUAUCAUUGAUUAAUUUGUAUCUGGCUUCUUUUUAGUUCUAAUGUCAUGUUAUUUUAUGCCCAUUUUUUGGUUGUUUGCAAUGAUUUGGGAGUUUUGAAGAAAGGUAUAGUGCCACUAUUACUGCUUAAAUUUGACUAGAGUUUGGUGAUAGUUUGUAAUUUGGAAGUAUGUAAGGAGGAUUAGGAAAUUCACACCUUAUAGCGAAUAUGCAGAUUAAUUUUUAAUAUUUCCUAUACAUGAAUCAUUAUUAUCAUAAUUUUUUUUGUUAGCUCUAAUAUGUUGCUGCAUGGACUUUUAUUCUCUCUUACAUAUUUGCACCAAAUUUGUUUUAGUCUAAAAGAUAUUUGUAAUUAAUACUUAUAUAAUAUUUGUAGUUAAUUGAUGAAAACCAGGUUUAGGAAUCACCUAGGGAACCAUAUGAAGUAAAAGUUUGAUAAACUUAUUUUCAAGCCUUUUUGCAUAUUUUUUUUGUGCAUUACACUAAAUUUCAAGAAUGUUGUUGAUCAUUUGUCAGAUGUAUUAUAUGUGAAUCUUUUAGGAUUUAUGCUAAGACAGGUGAUGGGAAGUUGAUUCUAUCACACACGGCAGGAGAAUGAUAUUUCUUUACUUUUGGGAAAUUUGAGUUAGGUCAUUUGUACUAUUUAUGGUGUUUUAUUUUUAAUUAAUUAUCAUGGUUAUCUUUAUUUAAUAAAGUGCUUGAUCUAUCCUGCUUCAUUUUGUCAUGCUUAAGCUCCUUUUGAUAUGGAUUCUAUACUUGAUCUCAUAAAAUUUAAGUAACUAAAGGUUUUGAGAUGGGAAUAGGAACAAUGUUACGGAAAGAGAAAGCUCUUCCUUGCUUUAAAGCAUUCUUAAAAUCAACAAAAAAUUGGUAGAAUUUUCAAGUAUGCUGCUCGAAGGUACUUAUUGAAUUGAAUCUU